GACGAACGCUGGCGGCGUGCCUAAUACAUGCAAGUCGAGCGAACAGAUGAGGAGCUUGCUCCUCUGACGUUAGCGGCGGAUGGGUGAGUAACACGUGGGCAACCUGCCCUGCAGAUGGGGGUAACUCCGGGAAACCGGGGCUAAUACCGAAUGAUCAGUUUGUUCGCAUGAACAAACUCUAAAAGACGGUUUCGGCUGUCACUGCAGGAUGGGCCCGCGGCGCAUUAGCUAGUUGGGGAGGUAACGGCUUACCAAGGCGACGAUGCGUAGCCGGCGUGAGAGGGUGAUCGGCCACACUGGGACUGAGACACGGCCCAGAGUCCUACGGGAGGCAGCAGUAGGGAAUCUUCCACAAUGGACGAAAGUCUGAUGGAGCAACGCCGCGUGAGCGAAGAAGGUUUUCGGAUCGUAAAGCUCUGUUGUGAGGGAAGAGCAAGUAUAGGAGUAACUGCCUGUACCUUGACGGUACCUCAUUAGAAAGCCACGGCUAACUACGUGCCAGCAGCCGCGGUAAAAC
rnacentral:rRNA from 1 species